AAACCAUUAGUAGCACGAUGCCAUGAGCACUCAUGGUUUUAUAAAUUUGACUAGAACUUAAGUAAAGGCUAGAAGUUCUUACCUCGACCUCUUUGUUCAUGUGUUUUUGCAACUCAUGAACUUCUGAUGGACUUAGAGGGGCAAGGUUAAACUUACGGUCAUUGUGGGUGAAAGAGUAGUGGUUUGUACGACCAUCAUGGUUGGUAGC
rnacentral:lncRNA from 1 species